rnacentral:rRNA from 1 species
UACGUAGGGGGCAAGCGUUGUCCGGAAUGACUGGGCGUAAAGGGAGUGUAGGCGGCUCAUCAAGUUAGAUGUGAAAUCCCGCGGCUCAACCGCGGAACUGCAUUUGAAACUGUCAGUCUUGAGUACCGGAGAGGUCAUCGGAAUUCCUUGUGUAGCGGUGAAAUGCGUAGAUAUAAGGAAGAACACCAGUGGCGAAGGCGGAUGACUGGACGGCAACUGACGGUGAGGCGCGAAAGCGUGGGGAGCAAACAGG